UAGUAGUAGUAUAUUAGUAUUUCUGUUUUCCAAACGGAAGGUUCGGGUUCGACUAUUAAA
rnacentral:tRNA from 1 species